UAGGGAAUCUUCGGCAAUGGACGAAAGUCUGGCCGAGCAACGCCGCGUGAGUGAAGAAGGUUUUCGGAUCGUAAAACUCUGUUGGUAGAGAAGAACGUUGGUGAGAGUGGAAAGCUCAUUCAAGUGACGGUAACUACCCAGAAAGGGCGGCUAACUACGUGCCAC
rnacentral:rRNA from 1 species